rnacentral:tRNA from 1 species
GAAGGAUGGCUUAGUGGUUAAGAGCACUGGCUUCCUUUCUAGAAUCUUGGGUUCAAUUCCCAGUGCCCUCA